UUAUAUUACCGGGUAAUUGAAUACUUUGUUAUUUUAGAUUUGAUAAAAUUUAUAUAAAAUAUGUAAACAAAAUAUAUAUACCAGCUUUUUUAAAUUAUUAAAAAAAAACUGCAGGGAAAAUCAAAAAACCACUUUCUUACUCACGAACUAAAUUAAAAACAAACAUACUUUGCACCAUAGGUGUAGAAGGUUAAAAGUUGGAAGGUAGAAGAGAAAUUUAAUGUAUAUCUGUACGCAGCGAUAAUCAUUGCUAACGAAAAAUGAUUCUUAACAGAGUUCGGUUAUACGUCAUGUUUUGAAAUGUCGUAAUAUAUAUGAUUUGAAAAUAAUAUAUUUCGUAAAUUUUUCACGUUUUCCUACGUUUCUUCGGUUUUAUCCAUUUAUCAUGAAAACUCCAGGUAAAAUCAAAAAAUGACUUCCCUAAAAUACCAUCUCAAUCAGAUUUCCUUUCAGAAAAUUUUGAAAACUCAAAAAAAAAAUCAUUAGCAAUAGUUUAUCUAUGCUUACAGAAAUAAAUGUAUGCAUUUUAUGUAUCAUACUUUCCUAAUAUCUAACCUACAACAGUGGCACAUCCAUCCCCAGUAUCAGUCCCUUUUUUUUUGUAUUAAAUAUGACUACAAAAAACAUACAUUUUCACUUUUUUUAAAAAUCCGGUGCUAAAGAAGCAUUUUAUAUCCCCUUUUCUGUACCUCUGUUAUAAUGGUCGUACAAAUUUGAAAUAAAAAAUAUAAACAAAUGAUGAACUAAAUAAUUAUAUAGUUAUGGGGGCCUGUUUAACGUACGUAAUCUAAUAAUGUUUUUACAGUUGUAAGAAUAUGAAUGUGAAGACCAAGAAAACCAAGAAAUGACUGUGAAAACCAAGAAAUUCAUCAUCCUAAUGAAAAAAAAACAAGUAGUAUCAGUACUUGGUUGGUGAUGACGAAGAGGGCUGCUAAAGUAGCUGCUGGACACUGCUCAAGAUUAAAAUAUAAACUAUAAUUAACUUGCACUAGCACGUGGAGCAAUACCACGUGUUCAGUGUUGGAAAAAAACUCUUGUGCGUGUGACAGCGGCUAUUGUGGUAGUGCCCUAAUACGACCAUCAUAUCAUGAAGAGCAGACUACCGGAGUAUAUAACCAUGCAUAAACACACAUUUAAUAUAGCUGCUGUACAAUCGACAAUCGUAAAUAUUACAGCCUUUCAAAACAUAUGUAACCAAACUUUGCUACGAAUCAUUUUUCGUCCUUAAUGGUUCAUCGCCGGUUACAGGUAUAAAUUUACAGGUAUAAACAAUUUUAUGUAUCCCAUCUUCCCCACUAAGUCAGCCCGCUCAAUUUUGACUUUACUAUCGUUCUUAAAUCGAAAAUAUACACAAAAUCAAAAUAAAAAAGACGUCCUAGGAUAAUGGGGUCGGAUGUAGCCACUGUUGUAAGUAAUUUAAUGUAUACCUAACCUGUACGAAACGAUUAACCAUUGCUAACGAAAAACGAAUCUGAUCUGAGUUCGGUUAAUAGUAUUGCUUUGUCAAAUUAAAAGUAAA